AGGGAAAUUAAAUGCAUUUCCUAACAUACUGUAGUAUCUGUAGUUCUUGACAUUUCCAGCAAUUUCUUACAAAGACUAGAUAUUGUCUUGGGGCAGAAAAUGGUCUAGAUUGUCUUGAGUGCUUUCAAGUCCUAAGACUUCAUGAAAAUAGUUUCAUUUACUUACUGAUGUUAUUGGUUAACAUUUGGUUUCAAUCUUGUGUGAUUUUUAUUAGAAAAGCUGUUUCAUAUGAGAUGUUUGAACCUUAGAUGAAUCAAGAAGAUAUCUUGAGGAUAUCUUGGGGAAAGGAACACCUGUACUAAUGAUGAGUUAUAAGCAAAUCAGCUCACCAGAAAAAUGUUGACCAUGGUGGUGUCUCUCUAGAAGAGAAUUCUCCUUCUAAAGACAACCUGAGAUGUGUCAGAUGCUGAUAAUUGGUGGUGGCGUUGCUGGGCUGACUGCAGCAGUAGCUGCCAAAGCAAUGGGAAUUGCUGUCAGAAGAUUUGAUGCCAGGGUGUGGUGAACACUGGUUACAAGGACUUGCCAAGAAGAAGGGCUACUCAAGCCAGUAGCCUUUUUCCAGCAACAUCUUGAAAUUAUUAAAGCUGUUUCUCCUGAGAGAGAAUAUUUUCACUUUGAACAAAAGGACGAUUUAGAUUAUAGGGCUAUUGAUUGUGUCAUUAGAGGAAUUUGAGUAAUAAAGGUAGCAUUAAUCCAAAGUACAGUCAUGCAAAACAUUUACAUAUUGGCAGACUGGAAUUACUUUUCAGCUAAGGAAGUGUUUGUAAAGAGAAGCAUAUUCAUCUAAGCUUUUAAGGAACACAGUCUAGGAUUUAGCUCAGCUGUGUGCUGUGCAAGAGAGAUGGCAAGACUGUCUAAUCAGAACACUUCUGGGCUGGGAAUGCCCCUCGUAUGACUGAGGUGUCAAAGCUUCAGGAGCAAGCAGUAGUGGAAGCACAGAAAUCUUCAGCAGAAGUUCUGGGCAUGGCUCUGGGUGACACAAUGGGCAUAUGCACUUCUUGUAAGGCUUGAUCUUUGCCAAAUACCACUUCUGGGUGGAUAUGGCACAGCAUCUACAGCAGGAAAGAAACCUAUGGAAAUUGUUGCAACUUGCACUGAAGCUGGAUUAGACCAAGUUAUUGAAGAGAUAAAGGAGUCUGAUUCUAUCAUUACCCUGGACUUGGCUCUGGUCACUGGUACAAAUGACACCGUAAACUCAGCAGCACAGGAAGAUCCCAAUUUUGUUAUCAGUAUCAUGCCAAUACUGGAACUCUGAAAAACAAAACAAGCUGCUUCAGGAUGGAUUUUAAACCAGAUUCCCAGAAAAAGUAAGGGAAGCACAGUGCACAGGAUCAGAGAAGGAGCCAGACUCAGUCCGGGGUAUGUUGGUGGAGCACAUUCUCUUCUGUUCACUCUUCUGUGUUGGACCUGAAGACUAUGUGGAAAACCAGAUGGACUCAAAAAUUGCAAGAAGCAGUAGCAAAGGAAUUAAAUCAGGUAACAUUACAAGUGCUUUGGGAGGUUUGCUGUAGAUUCCAAGUUGGCAUCUCUUUUCAGUAUCAAUGUAUCUUUACCCCAUGCACUGACAUGACCCUUUAUUCAACCUUGGCUUGGAUGACAUUUCUGCUACCUUCCAGGAAAGGAAUUGUUUUUUGCAGUAGCUCCCUCUCUUAUUCAUUUUGAGAAAAGGAUUAAAUACUCCCUCUGACCAAGCUUACAGGCAUGCUAAAGUGAAGCCUCUUCAUGCUCCUGGCCAAACAAAGAACAAAAAUACCCACAAUAAGCAAAAGCAGAUGGCUUCAGUGGCAGGAAAUGAAUGAGCCAGACUGCAGGUAAAAUGGUUCUCUGAACACAUCGCGGAGGUUUGCACUGACAGGUUCUUUGUUAUCUGGGGCCUCCCCACAGGAGGCCAGAUGUCUUCUGUUGUGAGAGGAGAUAGAGAUGCUCUUCCUUUUCCUCCCCCUUUAACUUAUGGCUGUUUAAGUUACUGCUAAUGGAAGCAGAAGCCUGUUUUUCCCUCUUGGUCUCUGAUGUUUUUGGAAACAGAAGAGAUAGUGAAGGGGUAUUCUGAUACGAAAGAAAAGGCCCAGAACUGGCCUUUACCUCCCCAUGACCCUCAAUUUAAAGAACAGGGAGGUCAGUGCUGCUAAUUGCACUUGAAAGGAUUAACCACUUGAUUGCUUUCAUUUAGUGGAACAAAAUUUUUCUUCAGUCUCAAAGCUGGGGAAAUGUAUCAGUGGUACUGAGAUGCUUUCAGUGUGAAAUGGAUGACUUUGUUUGGCUUAUACCAAUAUCAAAAUUAAAUAGAGGAUGUAAAUAUUUUUAUAUAUAUUAGAGAAGGGGCAAUUACAUCUCCUGCUCAGACAGGACAGAUUUGCAGCAGAAGUGACAAAAACCUCCUUCCUGCCCCCAUAAAAGGUUAUCAGAGGAAUUGCAACAGACCGUAACCAAUUACAGAUAUUAGGUGUGCCUCUGUCCCUUGGUAUAACAAAUUACUCUUGCAUUACACUGAGGUUGCACUGGAAGAAAAAGAAUCUGAACUCAAUUCCUGGACACAGUGUGCCAGAUUUAAAAUCCUUUCUGUACAUUAAUUUCAUCUUAGAGUUAAAACUAAUUUUCUUUUGGAAAAGGUUCUUAAUUCCCAUUGUUCAAAUAAAGUGAGGAAUACAAAACUUAAAUUUGGAAACAAUUUUUCACCUUAUGAAACUAUUUUCCAAAAGUAACAAAGAACAGCUUAUACAAGCUUUUAUCUGACCUCUGCUUCUUAAAUAAAAAACAUGUUUUCAGGGAAAUGUGUCUUGGAAAUAACUUCUCCUCUCCCCCCAGAUUUUUCUCUCUGGUUCUUGUAAAACAUUAGGUCAGUGGGUUCAUUUUAUUUUUGUUUGUUUAAAGUGGGUGAAAGUUUCCUUCUCAAGAUAUUAUACUUGUGUGAUUUAAAAAAAAUAAUUACAAAAAUCAUUGUUUAAGAAAUACCAGGACAGAUGGAAAUGUCAAAAGACUAUCAAAAUUCAUACCAAAGGAAAUAACAUUAAUAAUUUAAAAAAGCCAAAAUAACCUCUCAAUAACAAUAAGAACCAAAUGAAUAGGCAGUGUUGUUUCAAUAGCACUGAGACAUGACUGCUGAUUUUUCUCACUGCUUGGCACAUGAACUCAAUAUGUAGGUAGAUAGAAAAAUUAUCUCUCAUUCUGACUUCAAGCCUGUGUUUCCUGUGGUGCUGUUAUAGUUCAUGCACAUUUCAUGUGCACUUCACAUAACAUAAUCAGCAUUUUGUUCUGCAAAUGGGGAUAUAUUUAUGUUGUUCACUGAAAUGCACUUUUAUAUGCACUUGUGCAGAUGAGCAUACAAAUAUGAAGUAUGAUGUAAGAGAGUAUUCGUAUCUAGUGUUUGAAGCAAUACUAAGAUUUCAGUAUCUUGAAGCAUUAAAAAUGCAGUAUACAAACCAGCUGUUUGAGCCUGGAUGGAUUGCUGUGUAA